rnacentral:rRNA from 1 species
UACGUAGGGGCGAGCGUUGUCCGGAGUUACUGGGCGUAAAGCGCUUGUAGGCGGUCCACCAAGUUUGGGGUGACAGUUGCCGACUUAAUCGGCAAAGUGCCUCAAAGACUGGCGGACUUGAGGGCCACAGAGGGACAUGGAACUCCAGGUGUAGUGGUGAAAUGCGUAGAUAUCUGGAAGAACACCAAAGGCGAAGGCAGUGUCCUGGGUGGUCGCUGACGCUGAGAGGCGAAAGCCAGGGGAGCGAACGGG